UCGGGUCUACGUCAGACAGUAGGUGUUUC
rnacentral:piRNA from 1 species